rnacentral:rRNA from 1 species
UAGGGAAUCUUCCACAAUGGACGCAAGUCUGAUGGAGCAACGCCGCGUGAGUGAAGAAGGGUUUCGGCUCGUAAAGCUCUGUUGUUAAAGAAGAACACGUAUGAGAGUAACUGUUCAUACGUUGACGGUAUUUAACCAGAAAGGGACGGCUAACUACGUGCCAG